rnacentral:rRNA from 1 species
CAACAGGGAUGCCUCAGUAACGGCGAGUGAAGCGGCAACAGCUCAAAUUUGAAAUCUGGCCCUUUCAGGGUCCGAGUUGUAAUUUGGAGAAGAUGCUUCGGGUGUGGCCCCGGUCUAAGUUCCUUGGAACAGGACGUCAUAGAGGGUGAGAAUCCCGUAUGUGACCGGUGGCCUCGCCCAUGUGAAGCUCUUUCGACGAGUCGAGUUGUUUGGGAAUGCAGCUCAAAAUGGGUGGUAAAUUUCAUCUAAAGCUAAAUAUUGGCCAGAGACCGAUAGCGCACAAGUAGAGUGAUCGAAAGAUGAAAAGCACUUUGGAAAGAGAGUUAAACAGUACGUGAAAUUGUUGAAAGGGAAGCGCUUGCAACCAGACUUGCGCGCGGCCGAUCAUCCGGUGUUCUCACCGGUGCACUCGGUCGCGCUCAGGCCAGCAUCGGUUUGGGUGGUUGGAUAAAGGCCUCGGGAAUGUGGCUCCCCUCGGGGAGUGUUAUAGCCCGAGGUGCAAUGCAGCCUACCCGGACCGAGGACCGCGCUUCGGCUAGGAUGCUGGCGUAAUGGUUGUAAGCGACCCGUCUUGAAACACGGACCAAGGAGUCUAACAUCUAUGCGAGUGUUUGGGUGUCAAACCCAUACGCGUAAUGAAAGUGAACGGAGGUGAGAACCCUUAAGGGUGCAUCAUCGACCGAUCCUGAUGUCUUCGGAUGGAUUUGAGUAAGAGCAUAGCUGUUGGGACCCGAAAGAUGGUGAACUAUGCCUGAAUAGGGUGAAGCCAGAGGAAACUCUGGUGGAGGCUCGCAGCGGUUCUGACGUGCAAAUCGAUCGUCAAAUUUGGGCAUAGGGGCGAAAGACUAAUCGAACCAUCUAGUAGCUGGUUCCUGCCGAA